UUUUUUUAAACGAAAUGCACUUACAGCUCAUGCUUGUUACUUUAAAAUAAUAACAAACAAUAGUGUUUUAUUAUAUUAUAAGCCCGUCAACCUUGAACUAUUAUUAAUUUGGCAGCCGAACUAUAACUAUAGAUAUCUUUGUUAUGCAUAUUACUUUUUAACAUCUACUUGACCAUUCUAUUAUUCAGUGAACAGUGUAUGAGUGAAAUUGUUAACAGUGUAUGUUUUUCGGGGAGGCCAAAAAGGUAUCGUACCCUGGGCGCCAGUUAUGCCUACUACGCCACUGGCAACAAGUUCAAAUUUCUUAGUUUACAGAGUAAUCAGUUCAUGUCAUCCUCUUUACAAUUUAACUAUGUACAAAAUAAAACAUCAAUAAGUGAUCAUUCUUAUAUUCUCACAUUGGACCAGUAGUAAAAUAUUUAGAAUAGAUGACAUCAAGAGAGUUUGUC
rnacentral:lncRNA from 1 species